UGGGGAAUAUUGCGCAAUGGGCGAAAGCCUGACGCAGCAACGCCGCGUGAGUGAUGAAGGCCUUCGGGUCGUAAAGCUCUUUCAGACGGAAAGAAACGGUUACGGCUAAUACCCGUGACUAAUGACGGUACCGUAAGAAGAAGCACCGGCUAACUACGUGCCAGCAGCCGCGGUAAUACGUAGGGACCAAGCGUUGUUCGGAUUUACUGGGCGUAAAGGGCGCGUAGGCGGCAAUUCAAGUCAUCUGUGAAAUCUCCGGGCUUAACUCGGAACGGUCAGAUGAUACUGCUUUGCUAGAGUGCAGAAGGGGCAAUCGGAAUUCUUGGUGUAGCGGUGAAAUGCGUAGAUAUCAAGAGGAACACCUGAGGUGAAGACGGGUUGCUGGGCUGACACUGACGCUGAGGCGCGAAAGCCAGGGGAGCAAACGGGAUUAGAUACCCUUGUAGUCCCUGAGCGGGCUGGCAAGGCGCAU
rnacentral:rRNA from 1 species